UAACGCACUCAUGAAACUCUCUCGCUCGCCCAGAUUUUUUCCUCUCUCGUACUUCUCUCGCUCGAUCCUCACUGUUGCCGCCUCGAUUGCCGGCCGAUUCCGGCUGCUCCGGUGAGGUGCGGCGCCACCCAACACACACAUGGCUACUCCUCGACGAGCUCUACUAGCUUCACCUCGUCGAUCUAAUUUUCCUCGCCUCCUGUGGUCGCCCCCAUCGAUGUACCUUGCCAGGGUUUCGGUGGUGGAGGUGGGCCUCGCCUCCGACGGCCACCUGCUCGUUGCCCCGGUUUUCUGUUUUAGACUUAUGGUUUUCUCUUCUAAUUGUGUCUUAAUCUUGAGCUUUUUGUACACUGUUUGGGAUUAGAUGAUGACUAUGAAUGUGGGCAAUUUGUUUCUUGAUUGUGUCUUCGGUGGAUGUACCAAUUACAAUAUUGGCAUGGCUGCAUCUUUCUUAUAUUCAUUUAGAUGCUUUGUUCACUGCACAGAGCUAAUUUUUGUUGUUCACAACUAAAGCUCUUAUGGGUUGCACUGCUGCAGCUUAUACUAGAUGAUACAAAUGUGUGCUCCAUAGCUUUCUGUCCAAUUAUAUUAGCAUCUCCUGUGUGUUCUGUAAUAUUUUACAUUUUUGGGCUUGUGUUGUGGCUUACCAAGUCUAAUGUUUGUAUUGGUUUUUUCCAUUUUUUGUGUGGAGUUGGCCAGUUCAUAUGAAGCAAAUGAAAGGCAUGCAGUACCUACAUUGACAGGCAGCAUGAGUUAUUACAUAUUGUUGUGUAAUGUAUGAAAUACCAAAUUCACUUACUCAACAUAUAUCUGUCUCGCUCCUCCUUCCGUAGUUAAACCUUUUUGGUUAAGUUUUGCACUCAUCACCUCAUCUUCUGCCUUGCAAUAUUGUCUCUGUUUGAUCAAAGUGCAUGAAUCUCUGGACACCAUAGGCAUCUUAGAAUUGAUAGUGUUGUGCAUGACUACACGUUGUUGCAAAAAUAUUCCUGAAAUUGAUGCUAGCUCCAUCUAUUUGUUGUUUCCAUGUAAUUGCAAUGCACUCUUUUCGAGCUUCGCUGUUCAGGAAUUUAUCAUCGCUUGUGUUUUCUUGUGGCUUGGCAGAGGUGUCGUUGUUGGUGGUCAAGCAGCUGAUGUAGAAGAUUCAUAGAGAGAUUUGUCGGGUGGAUGCCGGCAUCCUCGCCGCCGUCCGGUCCGGCAGCAGGGCACUGCUUGUAAAAAGAGGAGGCAAGCUGAAGAGGAAGGUUGGAAGAAGGAGAGCAAUCGUGCGCAGUUCUAACUGCCUCUUCCUCCUGUCGCUAAGGAAUAGGCUCUCUUAUUUUGCAACAAGAAAUUUGCUCCAAGCUCUGUGAUCAUCCCCAUGCUACAGCUGCCGCCUGCAGAACCCCGCCUCCCGCAGGAGCAACCAUGCCUACUGCUUAGCUCAAGUGGGAGUGUUUCUGCUUUUAGGCAUCUCACUGUUGACUUGAUUACUGAUGGAAGGAUCUCCAUGCCGAUUGCUAUUGGGAAUCAUUUGCCUCUACACCGAUGACCCUCUCAUGUUGUAUUAUACAAUGAGCUACAAUGACGUCCUCCAUCGACAGCUAUUUGAACCUCAGUGCAAAUUCUUCUGUAAAAAUGACCCGCAUCAAGUCUUUUGCACUUUCCUCUUGACUUUCUAAAUGGGGAUCAUAUUAUGUGUAAUUGCUUUCUUUGAGGUAUAUCAAUGGCCAUGGAGUUCCUUUUAUGUGUCAUCUCCUUCACACCUUUCUAUCCUGAAAUUUAU